rnacentral:rRNA from 1 species
GACGAACGCUGGCGGCGUGCUUAACACAUGCAAGUCGAACGCUGAAGCUCAGCUUUUGUUGGGUGGAUGAGUGGCGAACGGGUGAGUAACACGUGAGUAACCUGCCCCCUUCUUUGGGAUAACGCCCGGAAACGGGUGCUAAUACUGGAUAUUCACUGGUCUUCGCAUGGGGGUUGGUGGAAAGGGUUUUUCUGGUGGGGGAUGGGCUCGCGGCCUAUCAGCUUGUUGGUGGGGUGAUGGCCUACCAAGGCUUUGACGGGUAGCCGGCCUGAGAGGGUGACCGGUCACAUUGGGACUGAGAUACGGCCCAGACUCCUACGGGAGGCAGCAGUGGGGAAUAUUGCACAAUGGGCGCAAGCCUGAUGCAGCGACGCCGCGUGAGGGAUGGAGGCCUUCGGGUUGUGAACCUCUUUCGCUCAUGGUCAAGCCGCAACAAUGGUUGUGGUGAGGGUAGUGGGUAAAGAAGCGCCGGCUAACUACGUGC